UGAACAUGGCGGUGUGCGCGAGUCAUUGGGUGUAAACCUAAAGGCGCAAUGAAAGUGUCAGGGGGCACUCCUUUAGGAGCGCUCCCCGCAGGGAGGAUGGGCCACCGUACAAUUAUUUGUCGGAGCCCCGCACUCCCGGGGCGUCUCGUUCUCAUUACGAGUGGAGACGCACCAGGAGCGCACACGCUGGUACCCGAAAGAUGGUGAACUAUGCCUGGCCAGGACGAAGCCAGGGGAAACCCUGGUGGAGGUCCGAAGCGAUUCUGACGUGCAAAUCGAUCGUCUGAGCUGGGUAUAGGGGCGAAAGACCAAUCGAACCAUCUAGUAGCUGGUUCCUUCCGAAAUGAGA
rnacentral:rRNA from 1 species